rnacentral:lncRNA from 1 species
GAGGGGAAUGGGUAACACUUUCCGAGGGGCCAGUGUUUGUAUGAGCAGCACUUCCUGAACCUGCCAUGGUCCCUGAAGAGGCCACAGGUCUUGAAGUAAACGAACGUAGACAUGUCCAGAGUCCUCUCCAGGCAGAGCUGGUCCAGGAUCAUGCCAGCUGGCUAGGUGACAGAGGAGGGCAGACUGUUUGGCCUGGAGUCAGGCCAGCCUGACUGAAAGAAAGAGUCAUGUCACUCUGCCCUGAAGCUUUGUGGUGUCACCCUGGUUAUUGCCACCCACCUUCAUCACACCUCACCCCACCACAGCCAACUGUGACUGAGCGGAUCUCUGGAACUUACAGAAUGGAUCCUGGCCAGGCUGGCUUCUUUGGUGAAGUGUCUGGCUUAUCCAGAAGACCAGCUCUUCUCCAGCCACCUCAAGCUCCCAGGAGCUCACUGGAUGGAAGAGAAGUGAACUUGACCUGCUGUUUCUGCACCCACAUCUUCUAGACUGCUGUUCCCGAUCCCUGCUAGGUCUGUUUGUGUCUCCCAUGUAGGUCCCUCCUCUGUGAGGAGUUUAUCCCACCCUACUCCACCCUACCCCAGUGUUAAUGUGACUGAAUGAGCCCCGUUGUUGGGUUAUUGAUCUGAAGCUUUAUUGUAUUUUGAAUUGUUUAUCUAAACACCUGCUUUGAUUGGUGGCCAUAAUCAAUCACCCUGUUCUCGUUUACUGAGAGUUUUCUGUAGCCAGUCAUCCCUCCUCCUUCUCCUUCUUUUCCUCCUCCUCUCCCUCCUCCUCCUCUUCUUCUUCCUCCCCUCUCCUCCUCCUCUCCCUCCUCCUCCUCCUCUUCUUCUUUUUCCUCCUCCAUCAUAUCAGAGAUGGAAUCUAAGUCUCACACAUGCUGAAUGAAUGCUUUACCACUGAGUUAGAACCACCAACCCUCUUUUUACUCUAGAUUUUGAGAUAGGCUCUCACAGAGUUGUGCAGGAGUGGCCUUGAACUCACUCUGCAGCCGAGGCAAGCCUUAAACUUGUGGUACUCCUACCUUGGCCUAAAGAAGAGCUGGGCUUGGAAGUGAGUCCCACCAGGCCUGGCUUUCCGAAUCAGCAUGUUUGCACCCUGCACAACUCCCAGCUCUCAGAGGCUAGAAGCUAACACCACCCACAGUGCCCCCCUCCCCAUCCACUAUCCUCAGGCCCAUCGUGUAGAUUGUUGCCCACUAACACUCAGAAGUUCUUACCUAUAAUCUACUUGAAUCGCUGAAACAGUUUGUAUGGUCACACUGGCAACUCCCCCUCUGUUGUGAGAUAUUGGGGUGUUUUCUCUGCAGAGUGUGCUUCUGGGGCAAGUGAAAUUCUGUACUUGAUUUCCGUGCCUUAAACCCAUGAGGACCAGGAAAGAGGAAAAUCAGAAGUGACGAGAGAGACGAGGGCCCUGGAGGAGCAGAUGUGGAAAAGGAAUCCUGCCUGCAGCCAACAUCUGCUUCCCUCGUUUCCAUCCUAGCCACAGGCUGGGCUGAUGGAGGAGUCUGACUAGCUCUUGGGACCACAGUCAGAUCCAUGGGACUGAAGCCCUGCUUAGCCUCUUCUUGCCCAGAGCUUCUGUAGGUGAGCUUGUGGCAUAUGCUCUAUGCCUGGCAGACAGUAUCUGGUGUCCAGUGAUGCCAGCUGCCAUGACCUGCUGGCUCCUUGUCCUGCUCCUCAUCACCCCCCCCCCCCCGGAACAGAGGCGCUUGCCCACCAUCUCUGAAACGAAGCUAUGACAUUUGGUUUGCUCUUCCUAGAUGACAGUUUCAGAGACAGCCUAUGACUCAUUAUGCCCUUUCCCUCCACUAUAAAGUCCAGCCACACUCCAGAUAAAGACUGCUUCCUCGGCCUGGGUCCCAGGACAAGGUCUAGGGCAGAGCCUCCAGAUGCAGUGUGCAGGGGCUGACGUAGGAAUAGCAAGCAGCCUCUGCCUGAAGCCACUGCAACUGAGGCUGUGCCCUUACUGCAGCCUUACCUGCCCUAUCCUCACCAGUUGACACCGGCUUUCAAGGGAAAGUCAUUCCCCAUCCAGACAUCAGCAGGCCCCAGAUUAAUUUCCAUUUGUGGCACUUGUCCACCGUUCUUCCAGAAAAAGUAUUAAACUAUGUUAAGUCUAUAAAAGUCCUCACUCGUACCCCAGCCCAAACCAUGCUUGGUAUGUAUGUUCCGUUCUCUGACCCGAUACAUCUGUGAAAUGGACCCCAUUUGGGAAGGCUCCAAGUGAGCCCUAGGGUUUUACUGCUAUGAACAGACACCAUGACCAUGGCAAGUCUUCUAAAGGACAGCAUUUAAUUGGGGCUGCCUUAUAGGUUCAGAGGUUCAGUCCAUUAUCACCAAAGUGGGAGCAUGGCAGCAUCCAGGCAGGCAUGGUGCAGGAGAAGCUGAGAGUUCUACAUCUUCAUCUGAAGGCUGCUAGUUGAAGACUGACUUCCAGGCAGAGGGUCUUAAGCCCACACCCACAGUGACACACCUAAUCCAACAAGGCCAUACUCACUCCAACAGGGCCACGCCCUGGGUUGAGCAUAUUCAAACCAACACAGGUAACUAUUCUGGCCAUUCCUUGACUCCCUUUACAAAACUGCUGAUCUGGGACCUGGUAGGAUGGUCCAGUGGGACCUCCCACCAAACCUGACAAGCUGAGCUCAAUUUCCGGGACCCACAUGGUGGAAGGAGAAAGUGACAUCUGCAAGUCAUCCUCGGACCUACAUACGUGCUCGCCCUGGCACACAUGGGCACUCACGUCCGUACACACGCUCAUUCAUAAGCACACAUACACAACACACACACAAACAUAAUUUUUAGACUCACACUGCUGACAUAUCUCUGAUCACGAGGACUCGGUUCUUCAUUCGUGGCUUUAAUCCCGUCUUUAUGAUCGUCUUCUGCAGGCUGAUGAUUAUUCUGAGAACAAGCAAAAGAAGACCUGAGCCGUUCCACCACUGUGCCCAGCUCACGGCACAUGCUUAAAUUCCAUGUGUGUGGAGCUAAAACAAGACAAAACUGGACUACACUUGGGGAUAGACUCUUAGUGGGUAAAACCAGAAAAACAGACAAGGAAGUGGGAGGAGGAGGAGAAGGAGGACAGGAAUUCACCUCCCAGCUCCCACAUAGCAGCUCAAACUGACUGUAACUACAGUUCCAAGAGAUCAAAUGUUCUCUUCUGGUCUCUGUGGGCACUGCACACAUGUGGUGCGCAGAUAUACAUGCAGACAAAACACCCAUACACAUAAAAGUAAACAAGAUAAGGAAAUGAUUGGCAUUAAGACUGGCCACAGGGAGGGGUGACCAGGCAGAGGCAGACGGCUGGAUCUGACUGUUUCUCUUCCUUGACAUUUAUGGAUGGGGGGUGUGGCUUUCAUCUUUCCCCUUUGUGUGUCCAGGAUAUAUUUAAAAAAGAAAUUUUGAAGCAUUGUUCUAGGAACUGAGGUAUAGCUAGUUGGUAAAGGGUGUGUUGUGUAGGUUUACUGGAGAUGUGCCAGGAAUGGAGCCAGGAAUGGAGGAGACCUCCAUCUUAAAUUAAAAAAUAAAACACAUUGUAUGUCGCUCUGCAUCACAUGGUGAGAGUCCUCUGCUUGCUUCCUAUGGCUAUACCUGAUCUAUCAUCUGAAUGUGUCAAAUGUAUUUAUCCAUCCCGUUCCUGGGGGCCACUGGGCUUGUUUUUAGCAUGGGGACCGUGUGGACGAUGAGGCUCUGAG